rnacentral:rRNA from 1 species
UACGGGGGGGGUAAGCGUUGUUCGGAAUUACUGGGCGUAAAGGGCUCGUAGGCGGCCAACUAAGUCAGACGUGAAAUCCCUCAGCUUAACUGGGGAACUGCGUCUGAUACUGGAUGGCUUGAGGUUGGGAGAGGGAUGCGGAGUUCCAGGUGUAGCGGUGAAAUGCGUAGAUAUCUGGAGGAACACCGGUGGCGAAGGCGGCAUCCUGGACCAAUUCUGACACUGAGGAGCGAAAGCCAGGGGAGCAAACGGG